ensembl:lincRNA
AAAAAACGUUUGGAUUAUUAAACCUUUCAAUUUGUUUCCCCCCCCCCCCAUUUUUUUUUCAUGUUUACAGGAUUUCCAGUGACAGCAAGACUACAGCUGUUAGUCCAGAGUUCUACCGAAAUUAAUAAUAGUGAACAAGAAGUCUUCCUACAGGAGCUUAACACGAUCAUUCAGAAAUACAUGGAGGGCAUGAAGUUUAGCAUAACUGUCAAAGGAAUAAGAAGAAAGAAUAAUUAAGAUCACAACGUAAAACAUUCUAAUGGAGGAAAUGCAAGGUAUUUCAGCCAAUUUUAAUGUGCAGAAAGUAAUAUGGUAAGCUAAAGCAUAUAAUAUUUAUUUAUUUAUCUCUUAUCUCUUAAAAAUCUGGUUUCAGAAUUUUUAUGUUGCUGCUGAUGGACAGAAUAAUUAAAUAUUUUUAUUUACAAUUUUCAUGCAUAAUGGACAACGUAGUAUAGUUCAAUAUAGUCUGUCUGUCUGGUUCUGUUCUUGAUUUUCUGGUGUAGUAUUUCAUGUUCCUGCACAAACCCUUGUCAUUAUUGAUUAUUGCACACCAGGCCCAUACAGUAUACUGUAUCUCACAUAUUGUGUUUGUUCGAAACAAUGUCACUCUUGCAUUUUUCUAAUACAACAUUAUAAUUCUAGAUGUAAACAGCUAUUCAAAGAUAGGAGGAGGUAGCUUGUCAAGUUGGCAUUCUACAUAAGUAUUGUUUGUUCUCAUUGUCACAGUCAUUCUUCUCCACACAACCUGUAAUUCUGCUUUUUUUCUGUCCUGUUUCUAAAACACAGAUUGUUCAGAACAGCUUGCAAAAUGUGCUUGAACAUCACAGCCAACUUAUUUUUUCUAAUUUGAAUAUUUGUUUAGUUGUGAAAUCCUCAUAACAUUUAAAUAAGGGUUAAAUAUCUAUUUUAAAAUGGAUUUAUGCAUUUAUGUUUUAACUGCACGGAUUGUUAGGUUUAGGUAUGUAUUUAGGUUUUAUUUUUCCUUGAUUUGUCAUCUAUCCCCACUAGUGAUGUAAAUUAGCCUUUAGAUAAGAUAUGUGUAGGAUCAUGGCAUUUUAUUUCACUUAGAGUUAAUUCUUAAUUUCCAAUAAUGUUUUUGUUGCCUUUGCCAAGCAGCAAGAUGCCUCUGUUGAAGUGCAGAGGAAUGUGGUUUUAGGCUUCUCUGAUAAGAGACACUAUGAAGCUGUUUGCAAUCUGAACCGUCUGAUGAUAUACAGUAUAAGACAGAUGGGCUCCAUUGAGUCUGUAGUUUCUUGCCAAGACCAUGGGUCCAAGGUCACUUUUCAUCACCCAAAGGAAGAUCCAUCACUGGGGGAGCUGCAGAGUAGGUGACAGGACUAUACUUGGUAGCAUCUCAACUACUUACCAACUGUGAUAUCAUACCUCAAAAACUGGCACCCAAUGCAUUCUUCGUUGCUGAACUGGCUCCUCAUUUCUCUCCAACUAAACUAGCAAGAGAAUGAGUAAAGUACAGAAUUCUGCCCAAAGUAUUCUUCCUGAAACAGAAGAAAUCUUGUGUCUGUGAACCCACUGUUAUUUUCUCCUGAUCAAAGAAAUAAGACAUUUGAACUCUUUUAUGUCAACAUCCUGAAUGUCUGAGCAUAUUCAGCACCAAUCAAUAGCAGGGACGAACUGAGUUCUCAGUUCCUCAAAACCUGUCUACCUUGCAGCUAGACCCAAGAAGGCUGCUGUGUGCAGACUAUUAUUUCUCAUUAUAUUAGACUGAUAAAACCUGGAAGGUAGGCCAUAUCAUAUGUUAUAGUCGAUGUGUUUUAACUCUGAAGUUAUUAACUCUUUGUUAUCCAUGGGUGAACAAUCAGACAGCUGUAUCACAGCAGGUUGUUUCACAGAUGUAUUAUAUUACAUUAGCUGUUCUUAUACAUGUAUCUGGUUUAAAGCAAUAAAUUGUAUUUUGUAUAUUUAGAAUCUGUUUGUGAGACUGUAAAUUAUUAUGUUUGAUUCCUAAAAGUCUUCAAGUACUCCUGCAAUUUGCUGUUACAACUUCUGAUUGCUACAGUAAAUUAAAACCCUCACAUUAAUACACAUGUUUUUGCAAUGCAUCUUAUACCAUGCUCUGUAUUUGUACUAUAUCAAUGUCAGACCUGUCCAAACUAAAUAAAUAAACCAACGCAACAAAUAACAUUCUGUAUUGUCCUUGGUCUGAAUCUGCUUUCCCUGCCUGUCAUAGCCUUUUUUCUUCAGAUGUGUGAUAUAAAUAUUCAAACUCUACUGAACAAGGAAGAACACAAAUUGAAUACCUUUAUUCCACCAUUAAAAUAAUAUUUUAGAAAAUGUGUCAUUAUCCACAUGCUGAAUCCCAAAGAUACUGUUAAUUACUCAUAGUAUUGAAGAACAACAUUUGGUUUCUAUUUCUACAGAGCUCUACAAAUC